rnacentral:rRNA from 1 species
UAAAUCGACCGCCUGGGGAGUACGGCCGCAAGGUUAAAACUCAAAUGAAUUGACGGGGGCCCGCACAAGCGGUGGAGCAUGUGGUUUAAUUCGAUGCAACGCGAAGAACCUUACUUACUCUUGACAUCCAGAGAACUUAGCAGAGAUGCUUUGGUGCCUUCGGGAACUUUGAGACAGGUGCUGCAUGGCUGUCGUCAGCUCGUGUUGUGAAAUGUUGGGUUAAGUCCCGCAACGAGCGCAACCCUUAUCCUUUGUUGCCAGCGAUUCGGUCGGGAACUCAAAGGAGACUGCCGGUGAUAAACCGGAGGAAGGUGGGGAUGACGUCAAGUCAUCAUGGCCCUUACGAGUAGGGCUACACACGUGCUACAAUGGCGUAUACAAAGAGAAGCGACCUCGCGAGAGCAAGCGGAACUCAUAAAGUACGUCGUAGUCCGGAUUGGAGUCUGCAACUCGACUCCAUGAAGUCGGAAUCGCUAGUAAUCGUAGAUCAGAAUGCUACGGUGAAUACGUUCCCGGGCCUUGUACACACCGCCCGUCACACCAUGGGAGUGGGUUGCUAAG